GCUUGUCUCAAAGAUUAAGCCAUGCAUGUCUAAGUAUAGUACCUUAUACUGCGAAACUGCGAAUGGCUCAUUAAAUCAGUUAUAAUUCAUUUGAUGGUACUUACUACUCGGAUAACCGUAGUAAUUCUAGAGCUAAUACAUGCACCCGUGCCCGACUUUGUGGAAGGGUUGUGUUUAUUAGUUACAGAACCAGCCCAGGCUCUGCCUGGUCUUGUGGUGAUUCAUAAUAACCGAACGAAUCGUAUGGCAUCAGCUGGCGAUGAAUCAUUCAAGUUUCUGACCUAUCAGCUUCCGACGGUAGGGUAUUGGCCUACCGUGGCAAUGACGGGUAACGGAGAAUUAGGGUUCGAUUCCGGAGAGGGAGCCUGAGAAACGGCUACCACAUCUAAGGAAGGCAGCAGG
rnacentral:rRNA from 1 species